rnacentral:rRNA from 1 species
AGUGAACGCUGGCGGUAGGCCUAACACAUGCAAGUCGAACGGCAGCACAGUAAGAGCUUGCUCUUACGGGUGGCGAGUGGCGGACGGGUGAGGAAUACAUCGGAAUCUACUUUUUCGUGGGGGAUAACGUAGGGAAACUUACGCUAAUACCGCAUACGACCUACGGGUGAAAGCAGGGGAUCUUCGGACCUUGCGCGAUUGAAUGAGCCGAUGUCGGAUUAGCUAGUUGGCGGGGUAAAGGCCCACCAAGGCGACGAUCCGUAGCUGGUCUGAGAGGAUGAUCAGCCACACUGGCACUGGGACACGGUCCAGACUCCUACGGGAGGCAGCAGUGGGGAAUAUUCGACAAUGGGCGCAAGCCUGAUCCAGCCAUCCCGCGUGGGUGAAGAAGGCCUUCGGGUUGUAAAGCCCUUUUGUUGGGAAAGAAAAGCAGCAGGUUAAUACCCCGCUGUUCUGACGGUACCCAAAGAAUAAGCACCGGCUAACUUCGUG